UUACACUACCAGCUCAUUUAAAUAUUGGUUGUAGCAAUGGACGCCUACUGCAUAUAUUAGCAACUAACAAGGAUUCAUAUAAAGUAACUGUAGAAGUAAUCAAUAAGUAUUUUAACAUCAAAGUUUGUACUAAUUAGAUUCUGCAACUAAUUAAAACAUAAAAAAAACUUUGUAAACCAUUUUUCACGAGAUUCAAAACAAUUUACUGACAUCUGCAACAUGCUCUGUGCAUACCAAAUAAUAACAUCUGCUAUGGCACAAACAUUGCAAUCAAUUGCAACCUCAAUUCACAUUGCUAUAUGUUCUUCAUUUCCCUUUCAAAAAAUCAGUGUUUUAUCUGUAUCAAACAGUGGUCACUUAUCUCUUUUAUCUGGUCCUGCUAUAGAAACCUCUUCUCGUGAACCACUAUACAGUUAGAGAGCUGACUAGUUAAGUUCCAGAAAAAGGUUAUAAGAAAGAGAUUUAUUUAUUUUGUUUGAAACAACAGUUAACAUUCAACGAAACCAAGUUUUCUUAUUAAAAGGCAAUUUUAUGCCAACAACUUGCUGACAAAAAUUAUGCAAUUCUUGUACUGCAAAAUAACAUUGAUAUUGAUUUUACUGGAAGAGUUGGAGAAAAUUCAGCAAGUAACACAAAACACCAAAACUCAAAAAUACUACUUAGCAGAUAUUAGAACACUUAUAUACGACAUGCUUGUGUGUUAAGUUCCUGGUUUCAUUCACUACACAAUUCAUUUUCUGCACAAUUCUGCAAUACAAACUUUGCUACAAGGAUGCAAAAGUGAUCCAAAGGGUUUUGGAUUCUUUUUGGACCAACGCGAGUUGCCCGGAAGAUUUCUACCACGCUAUAGAGGGAACAGAAUACAUAUGCUUUUUCACACAUGUGGUAUUUUGAUCUAUAAUUAUUACAUAUUGAAGAUAUUUUUGUGUUCUGGCUUGACAUUAUGUGAAUGUCUGCAAAAUGGUUUGUUUCAAGACUUUACAUUUGAAACAGGUUUUAACUAAUAGCAUGCUAAAAGAUUGCAAUUUGCUACUGUCUUAAAGUCCUCAAGAUUAUAUUUAACAAUUCAGUUACACAACGUGAUGAGUACUACACGCUUGCUUUAUUGUUUGUUGAUCUUCUUCAUUUUAAUAUUAAAUCG